rnacentral:rRNA from 1 species
UACGAAGGGGGCUAGCGUUGCUCGGAAUCACUGGGCGUAAAGCGCACGUAGGCGGAUUGCUAAGUCAGGGGGUGAAAUCCUGGAGCUCAACUCCAGAACUGCCCUUGAUACUGGCGGUCUCGAGUCCGGGAGAGGUGAGUGGAACUGCGAGUGUAGAGGUGAAAUUCGUAGAUAUUCGCAAAGAACACCAGUGGCGAAGGCGGCUCACUGGCCCGAUACUGACGCUGAGGCACGAAAGCGUGGGGAGCAAACAGGG